AGCAAAUGAUGUUAUUUCAAUGUUGAUAUUUGGUCAAGAUGGUUGAUUUACAGUUAUAGUUGAACACUGAUGGUGGAUCAACCAUUAAUCAACCACUGAUAAAAUAAAAAGUUUAAAAAAUGUGUUCGAAUCAAUGUAAUGGUUGAAGGAAACAUUUGAUCAAUGUUGAAUAUAUGUUGAUUUUGUCAUCAUCAUACAUUGCACCACUGGACGGGAGCCUGGGGUGCACUCUGGGUGAGACCAUUUUGUGGGAGGGGGGUUUCCUAUAUUUCAUUGAAUUUCAUUUAUUUAAUUUAGAAUUUUAAUAGAGCACAAGGAACUAUGAAGAAUAGAUUAUUAUUUAUGGUUAUGUGCAAAUCUUGUGUGUGCAACAUGUAAGGAAAAAACGAACAGAAAAACUUCUCCGUUUUCUACCGUACCGGCCGCUAUUUGGAAUGGUCCAAGUAACCGUCUCUCAGAAGAACUUUCAGAAGAGCUCGAGCUCCGUUGACGACGAGACUUGCGACCAUAGACUGUCCGUGCUUGCGACUGAAGAAAUUUGCUUCAACAACACUGGCCAGUUCUCCUCUUUGUGGUGAGGCAGGUCUGCUAUGCUAGAAAUGGCUAGGACCGGCGGCUUACCCAGCAGGCCUUCAGCGAAUUGGUGAAAAAUUGGCGUCGGUACGCCCCUUAGCGUGUCGGGGGAAAGAAAAGGAACUAGAUCCUCCACUUCAGGAUUGAAGUCUUUUUUUUUUCUGUUGUUACUGACACAAUAAAACAACAAUAACAAACAA